UGAAGUAAAAGUCGUAACAAGGUUUCCGCAGGUGAACCUGCGGAAGGAUCAUUCAUAAUAAAGUGUUUAUGGCACUUUUUAAAAAUCCAUAUCCACCUUGUGUGCAAUGUUAGAUCUCGUCAAUCUUGGCGAGAUUUUUAUACAUCAACUCAUUUUUUAACUAAUUUGUCUGAAAAAUAUUAUGAAUACUUAAUUCAAAAUACAACUUUCAACAACGGAUCUCUUGGCUCUC
rnacentral:misc_RNA from 1 species